CCAAUAGCGUAUAUUAAAGUUGUUGCAGUUAAAAAGCUCGUAGUUGAAUUUCGGGAUUAGUACGCUGGUCGUGCCUUGUGUAUGUACUGGUGUUACUGGUUCCUACCUUCUGACGAACCGUCAUGUCAUUAAUUUGGUGUGGCGGGAAAUCAGGACUGUUACUUUGAAAAAAUUAGAGUGUUUAAAGCAGGCUCGCGCCUGAAUACAUUAGCAUGGAAUAAUGAAAUAGGACGUUUGAUCCUAUUUUGUUGGUUUCUAGGAUUGACGUAAUGAUUAAUAGGGAUAGUUGGGGGCAUUAGUAUUCAAUUGUCAGAGGUGAAAUUCUUGGAUUUAUUGAAGACUAACUACUGCGAAAGCAUUUGCCAAGGAUGUUUUCAUUAAUCAAGAACGAAAGUUAGGGGAUCGAAGACGAUCAGAUACCGUCGUAGUCUUAACCAUAAACUAUGCCGACUAGGGAUCGGAUGAUGUUAUUUUUAAUGACUCAUUCGGCGCCUUACG
rnacentral:rRNA from 1 species